AGCGAUAACGGCAAACCCUCCGCGAGGAGGGGACGCAAAGCCACGGGACCCUCGACGGUCAGCCGGGCUACCGAAC
rnacentral:ncRNA from 1 species